AAUUCCUCGAUUCUUCCGCCCCGCUCUUAUCCUUUCCCUUUCCUUCUCCAAUCUCCACCGCCCGCUUAUUUCCUUAUCUCUUCCGCACGCGCUCCUCUCAGCCGGCGACGCCAUCCCUCUCCCUCCACCAACGACGCCGCUCCCCCUCCUGCUUCCCUCACCAAUGACGCCGCUCCCCAUACCCCUUAGCCGCCCUUUCCCGGCGGCCGGCGCCCUAUCCUUAUCUCCUCGUUUUUCCCGAUCAAUUUCUCUUCCUCUCACUCUCGGUCUUUCUCUCCUCCGCUGCUAGUCCUCUCCUCAUUGCGCCUUCUUUCCUUUCCCUCUUUUUCUUCUUCUCUCCACACUUCCACAGUCGACGACACCCUCCAUCUCCGUCCCUCCCACUCCCCCCACGGCGGCGUCGCUCCCUGUACCCCUCAGCCACGGCGCCCUCUCCCCAGCCGACGGCGCCCUUCCCCUGGUAGCGGCGCCCUACCCUUGGCGGCCAGUGCCUCCGCCGCUGCGCCCUGCCCCCGGCCGGCGGCGUCUUUCACCCGGCGAGCAGCGGUGCGCAACGGGCCGGGGAGCGGCGGCCCGCGACCAACUCCUCGGUGUCGGCGGCUCUCUCCUCCCGCGAGCGGCAACGUGCGUCGGCGCCUCUCCGCCCCUCACCUCCUCUCCCUUGCCAUAAUGCCACGGGAGGGCUCGACGGUGGCGGGCGGUGGCAGGCUGCGGCGCCGGCCCUUCCGGCGGGUAGGGAGGCGGUGGGCAGGGGCGGUGCCCUCCCCUCCGCCGGAUCCAGCGGGAGGGAAGGGGCGGCGGCCGGGCAUCCCGGAUCCAGCGUGAGGGGAGGGGAUGGGAGGAGAGGCGGUGGCGACCCGGCGGACGGCGUCCCAGCGGCGGCGGCGCCCUCCCCUCGCCGGAUCCAGCGGGAGGGGAGCCAGCGGCGGCCCGACGGCGACGGCGGCACCCUCCCCUUCCUGUGUCGGCAUUUUUUUUGUUUUUUUAGGGAAAGUGUCGGUAUUUUCUUGUGUUCUUGUUGAUAAAAAUCUGUUCAAUCUGUUCUUGUCUUCUUGUAGUAGUGUUUUUUCUAGGAUUUGGGUCCAAAUUUGAUGCGUACUCGGAUUAAGGCGCACGGGGGUAGGCUGUGAAGGCCAGUACCGAGGUUGCCACCGUGACCUUUUUCUUUCUUCGUUUUUUUUUUACCAUCGGAUAAGGGUUGAAGCGGGAUAGAUCGCACGCGCGCGUAGGAAGGAUUUUUUUUGUGACGGACGAAACGGACGAUCGGAAACCUUACGAAUUUUUUAAGUAGGAGGGGGAUGGAGGCUUGGCACAUGGUGGCAGUGGGUUGAGGCCGGUCGGCUCAGUAGGGAAGGGGAGAGAAAAUCCACCGGGAGAAAUAAAAUUGAUUCCUAAAAGAAGGGGCUGAUUAAUAGGUAGUUUUAAUUAUUUGGGUGAUGUGUUUCAUACGCUUGGUGAGCAUAACAGGGAAGGGAAAUGGGCAACUAAAUAUCCUAAAGGCUACUGCACAAUCAACGCAAUCAAUACAACGCUGCCUCAUAUAAUGAAAAUUCGUAACAUGAAGCGGAUCAUGCUCAAUA